UUGGCGUUCUGGAAGAAGCCUUUCAGCUUCACCAUGAGCGUAUCGAAGUUGGCAUCUGCUAUGAGGCAGGGACCAUUCUCAAAGAGAGCGAAACAGCUGAGGGGAUACUCAGAGUUGUGCAUCACGUACAUCAGCUUGCCUGUCUGCCCUUGGCUGCUGAUGGCGGCGGCCGUGUGGUACGUCUCGCAGUCCACGCCGAACGCGCCGUGCUUCUCGGCGCCCAGCAGCUCCAGCUUCUUGCUCAGCAGCUCCACCGUCUGCUGCACGCUCUUCCCCUCCAAUACAGGCACCUGCGUCACGCAGGUGACCCCCAUCGCUCCGUCCGUUCCCGCCCG
rnacentral:lncRNA from 1 species